CCGUUCUGUCCGUUACGUCUCCGUUUCUCGUCCGUUGCAUAUCCGUUGCAUGUCCGUUAUGCAUUCGUUAGGCGUCCGUUUUAGUUGGUCAGUACAUCAACGGACGCCCAACGGAUAACAAUUUUGUCAACGGACAACUUUUAUUUUCAUCCGUUAGGCGUCCGUUCGUCUUAUCCGGUAAGGUGUGACCGAGGCUUAAAACAUAU
rnacentral:lncRNA from 1 species